rnacentral:lncRNA from 1 species
ACCUAACACCAGUCCCCCCACUUUCGAGUUUGAAUUUCGAAUGAAGGAAGUACGGAGAGGUUGUCGCAGCUGAAGUUCUCCCCCUGAUGUCUGGGCGCAACCAUCCUCGGAUAUGUCGGCAUUUAAUGCACGCAUGCGAGAGCCCUUUUUUCGAUUAGGGUGACCCGAAGAGUCUUUUCGGAACUCCCAUCGAGAUGUGAUCCUAAGCAUCGUGCCAUGGAAAUUUGCGAACAGUCAAUCCUCGAUAGCGGCG